UAGGCUUUUGAAAAAGCGAGACGCGUCUAGGAGGGAGGCACCAGGGAACUUCCCUCCCUCACUUGAGCACAGUCCAAGACGAAAGUUUCUGGGUUGUUUCCCCUUCGCUUCCUCUCGCCCUGGCUCCCCCGCGGAGCCGCAGCACCAGCAAUUGUGCAAGAGGAGCCGGGAGCACGGCGCGCAUCGCUGAGCGCCCGGGACGAGCCGCGCCGGUGAUUAAUUAUCAGUGCCCGCCGGCCUCGACUCUCACGCCGACUCACAGGCGGAAUCGGAGCGCCGAGCUGCCUCCGGCACGGCCGCACGGAGGAGCGGCUCUGGGGAGGACCACCGCGGCUGCUGGAGAGAGCCCUUGGGGAAACCAUGAAGUUACCCUGCACAUUCCAGUAACACAGUUAUGACAAAACAAAGCCUAUGAAGUGAUCACAUUUUAAAAAAAUAUUUACAAAAAAACUCAAAAAUGCACAUAACAAAGGCUUCUCAAAAAAAAAAAAAAAAAAAAGGAAGAAGAAGAAGAAGGAGAAGAAGAAAAAGAAAGUAACUUACCUGUUGGGACAUUCUGAAUAAGAGAAACUGUGGACUGAGAAGCCUGCAGCUCCAGCAAAAAUGUCAUAAUAAUAGUUUCAGUUUCUGUCAGGAAGGAAGAUUGAGAUUCCUAGACACCCAAGAAAAUCAUGUUUCAGGGUAGGGCUUAAUACCUUACACAAUUAUUUAAAAAUACAACACUGUCUUUAAAUUUAUCACAGAUAAAAGGAUGCCUAUAGAUACUUCAAAAAUAAAUAUAAAAAUGAAAUGUCAA